rnacentral:tRNA from 1 species
CAGAAAAUAGUUUAAUGAAGAAUGCUAGUUUUGGGGACUAGCGAUGGGAAGUUGAUAAUCCCUUUUUUGA